UCCACCAAAUGCUGGAAAAAACUGCUCUUAGUAGAGGAGUCAUCUCUAAAGAGAGAAAGAAAACAGAGCGAGAGGAUGAAUCAAACAUCUAGUCCAUGCAUGUGGGUGAAUUAAGAACAUAAAAGAGGGAGGGAGACAGGAUGGAGGUGUUAAAGGAUGUGGGGACACUAGCAUGCUGUUGUGGGCUGAAGCUCGACUGUCCGCAGAGCCGCGCCGUGGUUGGGUGAAGUAUGCUUGGUUUGGGGCGACGGAGACGGUUUUUCUAAAAUAUGAGUGGGUUUGGAUUUUGGUUCCUGCAGCACUUUAUAUAUAGAGACAAGAACAAUACUGUCCCAGUGCUGCUCUUCCUGUCCUAAAUCUCCUUUAGUCUGAUGUAAUGCUGCUGUACAACACUGUUAAAGGAACAAUGUGAACAAUGGGCCAUGUUCAUCAGUCAUUUCAGAGUAACACUGAUCUGAGUCUCAUCAGUUAAUGCAGCUCCAAUCAGUGGCAGGGUUACUUAAUGGGGAGUCACUGACUGUGUUUACAUGCAAAGACACUUGCCAAUCUGAUUGAAGACCUUCCAAUUACAGAUUAAAACUGAGGUGUUUAUAUACUCUACUAUAUGCACAUGCUCUACUCAACAAUCUGAUGGAAAAUCUUUGUUUACAUGCAAACUACAAGUAAUCUGAUCCAAAAUGCUGUGUGUGUGUGUGGAGUACUACUUAAACUUUACCAUGACAGUGAACAUCACAUGAGGUCCAGUCGGAGUGACAAGGUGGAAAGGUUCAACAUGAAUGUCCUAUGAGUGUCACAAAACCAGGUUUCCACUCGCAUCUCGGCAUGUCUGUCUGACAUAUCUUCAUGGAUGGUGGCUCACCACCUCAAUCCUAGCAAGACUGAGCUGAUAUUCAUCCCAGCAACUACAGGUCCUCAUCAUGAUCUUACCAUCUCAUUCGAGAACUCUCUGAUUGUUCCGUCUGUAGAGGCAAGACGUCUUGGUGUGAUUCUGGAUGGUCAGUUAUCGCUCUCGUCUCACAUCGCGAAUCUAACUUGUCCAUGCAGAUUUCUCCUGUUCAACAUCCGGAGGAUCGGACCCUCUCACUCGAGAGGCCGCCCAGGUGCUGCUAGUGCAGUCUCUGAUCAUCUCAAGACUUGACUACUGCAACUCACUCUUGGCUGGUCUUCCCAUGCAGGCCAUAAAAGCCUCUGCAACUCAUCCAGAAUGCAGCAGCACGGCUCGUCUUCAAUCACAAGUUUAGCCACGUCACCUCACUGCUGCGCUCCCUUCAUUGGCUUCCUGUAGCUGCACGCAUCAGAUUUAAAACCCUAAUGCUUGCCCACAAAGCCAAAACUGGACCAGCCCCUACCUACUUGAUGGCAAUGGUGUAAUCUCGAACUAUAUAGCUCAGCUUGACCCACCAUCCCUCAAGGCGCAUGGAAGACAAGCAUCAAGACUGUACUCUGUACUGGCUCCCACUGGCUGUUCGUCUCUUGCUGUCUUCAACGUAGACUGAAGACCGUCUCUUUAUACAACACUUAAAUGAGCACUAAAUUAAGUAUUGAUUGUAAUGUAUUGUAGUGCACUGUUCUGUGUUCA